UAAAGUGCGAAAAGUGAUGCGAUUUGCAUGAAUCUGUGAGUCAUCCAAUCUUUGAACGCAAAUGGCACUCUUGUGUAAGCAAGAGUAUGUCUGUUUGAGAAUCCCAAAACCGAUCAACACCUGUGGGCGUUGGUACUGGCUUUCCGUGCAGUUGUGCGGAUUGCUUAAAGAUAUUCAGGUUGAUGAGCUUCCAGCCAAGCUCCAAGUGUGCUAAAAGACUGUGGUCUUUCGUCAUUUGGUCUGUUUGGUCAUACGGCUCUAAACGACAACCUUUAAAACUUAUCUAAUAGGAUCUCAAAUCAGGCAAGAUUACCCGCUGAACUUAA
rnacentral:misc_RNA from 1 species